UACGGGGGGGGCAAGCGUUGUUCGGAAUUACUGGGCGUAAAGGGCUUGUAGGUGGCCAACUAAGUCAGACGUGAAAUCCCACGGCUUAACCGAGGAACUGCGUCUGAUACUGGAUGGCUUGAGUGUGGGAGAGGGAUGCGGAAUUCCAGGUGUAGCGGUGAAAUGCGUAGAUAUCUGGAGGAACACCGGUGGCGAAGGCGGCAUCCUGGACCAACACUGACACUGAUGAGCGAAAGCCAGGGGAGCAAACGGG
rnacentral:rRNA from 1 species